CUGGUCAUGAAGAUCAGCCAGAAUGCAAACAAAUACAGCUAGAUAUCAAAUCUAUAAUAAAGGAUAUUUCAGCCUUGACUCUUACUGAAGUUAGUUUGGAUAUGCCAAAAGCUGAUAUUCCUUCAGGAAAUAGUGAACCUUCUACAUCUGCAAAUCCUGAAGACAAAUGGGAAGAUAAAAUUGAACAAGAUAAUUUCCAUCCAGUACCAGGAAAAGAUGUUUUGGAAAAUGGUAAGAAUAUUCCAACUCAGUAUAUGUCAGUGUCAGCAACUGCUAAAUUUCAAAACAUGAGUCAUGAGGAGCUGCGUUUUAUACAUUACAUGAAACGUGAAGUACAUUCAGAUGAAUUACAUGCAGAGAAUUUACAUGAAAGAAAUACAUUGCCAAAAUUUUGCUUUUCAAAAAAGGAACAACUGUACCCUUUUAUCAAGGCAUUAAUUGUAAAUAAUAAGAUUGCAAAUUCUGUUUUUUCACAUGUGUGUCCCUUCUUGUGCACAACCCAGAAGCUUUUGUGAUUCUUUGCAGCAAAAAUUACUGACCUCUAGCUUUGCUCUACUUUUCAGAUGUGCCGCCACUGCCGCGUUUUAAGUGCCAGCCCCGCAGGUCCACCCCAUUGAGCCCGCUGCACUGGAGGGACCUGCCCAAGCAAGUCCAAGUGAAGCAGUGCACCAAGUCAAUGGGGUGAGCCUGAGAGAGGGAAAGAGAGAGAGAGAAAAGAGAGAGAAAGAGAGAAGGAAGAAAAGAAAGAGAAAAGGGAAAGAAAGAAAAGGGGACAAAGAAAGGUGGAUGGAAGGAAGGGAUAGAAAGAAAAAGAAAUAAAGAAGGAGGGAGGAGAAAGAUAAUGAGAUAU
rnacentral:lncRNA from 1 species